rnacentral:rRNA from 1 species
GUGCCAGCAGCCGCGGUAAGACGAACCGUGCGAACGUUGUUCGGAAUCACUGGGCUUGAAGGGCGCGUAGGCGGUCUGCCAAGUCCGGGGUGAAAUCCACCGGCUCAACCGGUGAACGGCCCCGGAUACUGGCGGUCUCGAGGCGGGUAGGGGCGUGCGGAACUCUGGGUGGAGCGGUGAAAUGCGUUGAUAUCCAGAGGAACUCCGGUGGCGAAGGCGGCACGCUGGACCCGAUCUGACGCUGAGGCGCGAAAGCCAGGGGAGCGAACGGGAUUAGAUACCCCCGUAGUCC